AUCAUUAGAUUUUUAACUAAAGAAAUUUGAACAGUUUUGAGGUUCUUCGAGCCCUUAGAUAAUAUGGCCUGAGACUAAGGUUUCAAUACGCGCCAUUAGGCUAGAUUUUUUCUAGAAGGAUUUAACUGCAUAUGCUUCAAAUGCUUUUUAACUUGAUUUAUUGCUGCUAUUUAUGUGCACAGGAGGUAGAAUUGGCAACCCUUGAAGCGACUACUAGGAGAUCAAAAGAGGAAGCUGCACCUGGUGGAAAUUCAUGGCUGGGCCUCUCUCAUUGCAACUAUAAUUGGCAAUCUUAAAGUUACUCUCAGUAACAUUCAUAUCAGAUAUGAAGACACCAUCAGUAAUCCAGGACAUCCAUUUUGUUCCGGGAUCACUCUAUCAAAACUUGCUGCUGUUACCAUGGAUGAGCAGGGUAAUGAAACAUUUGAUACCAGUGGAGCUCUAGACAAGCUGCGUAAGGUUAGAAAUUUCUUUUUGCUUG